rnacentral:rRNA from 1 species
AUUGAACGCUGGCGGCAGGCCUAACACAUGCAAGUCGAACGAGUGGCGGACGGGUGAGUAAUGUCUGGGAAACUGCCCGAUGGAGGGGGCUAACUACUGGAAACGGUAGCUACUACCGCAUACCAUCGGAUGUGCCCAGAUGGGAUUAGCUAGUCGGUGGGGUAACGGCUCACCUAGGCGACGAUCCCUAGCUGGGCUGUGAGGGUGACCAGCCAAACUGGAACGGAGACACGGUCCAGACUCCUACGGGAGGCAGAAGGGGGGAAUAUUGCACAAGGGGCGCAAGCCUGAUGCAGCCAAGCCGCGUGUAUGAAGAAGGCCUUCGGGUUGUAAAGUACUUUCAGCGAGGAGGCGUUACUCGAAGAAGAAGCACCGGCUAACUCCGUGCCAGCAGCCGCGGUAAUAC